rnacentral:rRNA from 1 species
AGCAGCCGCGGUAAUUCCAGCUCCAAUAGCGUAUAUUAAAGUUGUUGCAGUUAAAAGCUCGUAGUUGAAUUUCGGGACUGAUAUGUCGGUCGUGCCUCGGUACGUACUGAUAUUUUUGGUUUCUCCCUUCUGACGAACCUUGAUGUCAUUAAUUUGGUGUCUUGGGAAAUCAGGACUGUUACUUUGAAAAAUUAGAGUGUUUAAAGCAGGCUCACGCUUGAAUACAUUAGCAUGGAAUAAUGAAAUAGGACGUUUGAUUCUAUUUUGUUGGUUUCUAGGAUCGACGUAAUGAUUAAUAGGGAUAGUUGGGGGCAUUAGUAUUCAAUUGUCAGAGGUGAAAUUCUUGGAUUUAUUGAAGACUAACUACUGCGAAAGCAUUUGCCAAGGAUGUUUCAUUAAUCAAGACGAAAGUAGGGGAUCGAAGACGAUCAGAUACCGUCGUAGUCUUAACCAUAAACUAUGCCGACUAGGAUCGGAUGAUGUUAA